GGGGCUGUAGCUCAGUGGCAGAGCACUUGCCUUGCAUGUAUGAGGCACUGGGUUUGAUCCUCAGCACCACA
rnacentral:tRNA from 1 species